UAUUGGACAAUGGGCGAAAGCCUGAUCCAGCAAUGCCGCGUGAGUGAAGAAGGCCUUCGGGUUGUAAAGCUCUUUCAGUCGAGAAGAAAAAAUUAUGACUAAUAAUCAUAGUUGAUGACGGUAUCGACAGAAGAAGCACCGACUAACUACGUGCCAGCAGCCGCGGUAAUACGUAGGGUGCGAGCGUUAAUCGGAAUUACUGGGCGUAAAGGGUGCGCAGGCGGUUUUGUAAGUCAGAUGUGAAAUCCCCGGGCUUAACCUGGGAAUUGCGUUUGAAACUACAAAUCUAGAGUGUGGCAGAGGGAGGUGGAAUUCCAUGUGUAGCAGUGAAAUGCGUAGAGAUAUGGAAGAACAUCGAUGGCGAAGGCAGCCUCCUGGGCUAACACUGACACUCGUGCACGAAAGCGUGGGGAGCAAACAGGAUUAGAUACCCUGGUAGUCCACGCCCUAAACUAUGUCAACUAGUUGUUGGGCCUUAAUAGGCUUGGUAACGUAGCUAACGCGUGAAGUUGACCGCCUGGGGAGUACGGUCGCAAGAUUAAACUCAAAGGAAUUGACGG
rnacentral:rRNA from 1 species